rnacentral:tRNA from 1 species
GGAUCGUUGGUCUAGGGGUAUGAUUCCUGCUUCGGGUGCAGGAGGUCCCGGGUUUAAAUCCCGGACGAGCCC